UACGUAGGUGGCAAGCGUUGUCCGGAUUUACUGGGCGUAAAGAGCGCGCAGGCGGUCGUUCAAGUCGCGUGUGAAAGCCCCCGGCUCAACUGGGGAGGGUCACGCGAUACUGAUCGACUCGAAGGCAGGAGAGGGAAGUGGAAUUCCCGGUGUAGUGGUGAAAUGCGUAGAUAUCGGGAGGAAUACCGGUGGCGAAGGCGGCAUCCUGGACCAAUACUGACACUGAGGAGCGAAAGCCAGGGGAGCAAACGGG
rnacentral:rRNA from 1 species